AUCCUCAUCAUCUUCAGCCUAGAAUUACAAGAGCUUCAGGCUGCAGUGAGACCGUUGCAGCUUUUGGAUACAGCUAAUCAGUCCUAGCACUCUUUCUCUUUGAACCUGGACAAGGUGUCUGACCCUUCUCAACACAGCAUCAGACAGCCACCUCUAUUGACUGAAGUUGACAUGGAGAAUAAAACUCAUUACCCCUGCUGAAUCCAGGGGCCCCUUUUUACAGAUGAGAAAAGUUCCAGAAAGACCCAGAGAUAUAAUCAGGUACCUGCGUCGAGCUCUGCACAGGUGACUGGGACUGCAACCCCGGAGACCACUGUGUCAGCAAUGGGUGUGGCCAUGAGUGUGCUGCAGAGUAAGGACAGAUGAAGAGUUAUCUUAAGGAUCAUCUUUCUCUAAGAUCGUCAUCCCUUUCUGGAGUUCCUAUCUUCCAAGAUGUGACUGUCUGGAGUUCCUUGACUAGGAAGAUGGAUGAAAACAGCAAGCCUGUGGAUGGAGACUAUAGGGGAUAUGGGAGGCAGGGAAGAGGGGUUGUUUCUUUUAAUAAAGCAUCAUUGUUAAAAGCA
rnacentral:lncRNA from 1 species